rnacentral:lncRNA from 1 species
GGCAAAGGAAUUGACACGGUGGUUCAACUCGAGAAAAUGGUUUGUCAUAGUACUCAUGUAUUUCAGAAUUUCAUGUCCCAUCAUAUUUAACUCUUCUCUCAUGGCAGCUUGUUCUGACAUCAUAGCUUGAAUAGCGGUAUUAAAAUCAGUUCCGGGCAUAUGAUGUCUAAGAUCAGGUAUUGCUGAUUCUGCGGACGGGAUAGGAUGAGGUGGAGAGAAAG